rnacentral:tRNA from 1 species
GGCUCGGUGCGAUGUUUGGUACUUGCAACUAGCCUCUCAAGCUGGUCGACGCCGGUUCAAUUCCGGUCCGAGUCAC